UACCAGCACUCCGAGUGGUCGGGACGAUUAUUGGGCCUAAAGCAUCCGUAGCCGGUUCUGCAAGUCCCCCGUUAAAUCCAGCUGCUCAACAGAUGGGCCGCGGAGGAUACUACAGAGCUAGGAGGCAGGAGAGGCAAGCGGUACUCAGUGGGUAGGGGUAAAAUCCGUUGAUCCAUUGAAGACCACCAGUGGCGAAGGCGGCUUGCCAGAAUGCGCUCGACGGUGAGGGAUGAAAGCUGGGGGAGCAAACCGG
rnacentral:rRNA from 1 species